CAUCGAGUCUUUGAACGCAAGUUGCGCCCGAGGCUUGUCCAAGGGCAUUUCCGCUAGAGCGUCACC
rnacentral:rRNA from 1 species